UCCAAUGNCGGGUNCAAUGGGCUNCAAUACCGCGGGGUGGAGGAAAUCCCAAAAAGCCAGUCUCAGUUGGGUUUGGGGUCUGCANCUCGCCCCCAUGAAGUCGGAGUCGUUAGUAAUCGCAGAUCAGCAACGCUGCGGUGAAUNCGUUCCCGGNCCUUGUACACACCGCCCGUCAAGUCAUGAAAGUCGGUAACACCCGAAGCCGGUGGCCUAACCUUUUGGAGGGAGCCGUCGAAGGUGGGAUCGGUAAUUAGGACUAAGU
rnacentral:rRNA from 1 species